GUGAUGCUGCAUUACCGCUCAGACCUGCUCCAGAUGCUGGACACACUGGUCUUCUCUAGCCUCCUGCUAUUUGGCUUUGCAGAGCAGAAGCAGCUGCUGGAGGUGGAACUCUACGCAGACUAUAGAGAGAACUCGUAUGUGCCGACCACUGGAGCGAUCAUUGAGAUCCACAGCAAGCGCAUCCAGCUGUAUGGAGCCUACCUCCGCAUCCACGCGCACUUCACUGGGCUCAGAUACCUGCUAUACAACUUCCCGAUGACCUGCGCCUUCAUAGGUGUCGCCAGCAACUUCACCUUCCUCAGCGUCAUCGUGCUCUUCAGCUACAUGCAGUGGGUGUGGGGGGGCAUCUGGCCCCGACACCGCUUCUCUUUGCAGGUUAACAUCCGAAAAAGAGACAAUUCCCAGAAGGAAGUCCAACGAAGGAUCUCUGCUCAUCAGCCAGGUAAAGGUGUUGGCUGGGGAGCUGUUGAGGUGGGCUAGGUUGAGCUGGGCUGGGCCAGAAGGAGUCCCUGCUUCAUCCAGUAUGAGGCUUAGGGUAUCACCGACU
rnacentral:sRNA from 1 species